rnacentral:lncRNA from 1 species
CGGAAACCUUUCUUUAUGGACAUGGAAGUUUGCAUCUCACGUACUUCUCAUGUGUCACAAGAUACGAUUCUACUUUCCAUGUUUUCAACCAUUUAAACAUGUAAAAGCCAUUCUUAAUUCAUGGGCCACACAAAAACAGGCAGCAAGAAAUUUGGUUUUUAGACCAGUGGCAGCUGACCCCUGGAUGGAGCAUAAGAGCUUGGGUGUGUGUCCCACUCCAGGGCUUCCAGGAGAGGGGAUGCAGGCUGAUGCCACCUCCACCCCCAUCACUCUAGGGGAGAAGGCAGAGCUGGUGCUGUAUGAAGUUUGGCUGCAGAUCCUGGUCCAGCCCUACACCAAGGCUUUGGAGGACAAAACCAGCCCUGAGUUCUGGGCACUUCAAGGGCAGCUGACGAGAUGGGUGAAGUGGCGGGAUGAAGUGGGGGGUCGAGGAAGAGGCCUCGGGAAGAUGGGGGAUGACUGGACAAGACUUUGGUAGAGCUGUGACCCUCUUCAUCCUCUCCUGACCCCCCAGCUGAACUUCAUCCUCAGACCUCUGCAGAACUUUGACCAAGUGGUGGUGGAGGAAUUCCCGUGGGUUCAGGGUGGCCCUGGGUGACCCAGGGCUCAGACCUGGGUUCUGGGGUUGAGGGCAGGAGGCUGGAAGAGAUGACCUCCCCUAGUCCCCCAAGGCUGCCCAGCCCCCUGAAGUCUGUGAUGAUCCUCCCACCAGGCCGGAGCCACUGACUGCCAGAAUGGGUGCCACCUUCUUCAGGGCGGCGCCAGCCCAGGCUCUCAUGUGGGACCGUUUGCGCCAGGGUCUGCACACCCUGGGGAAGGCAGAGGGCCUCUUGGUGGAGAUGGUCAUCCCAGACCUCGGUCAGUACCUCCUUCCCUCUGCAGGCCCCCUCCCUCUGUCCAUCUGCCUCCUCCCUUGGGCUCGCUGCCUCCACAUGCCCUGAUCUGAAGCCUGCCUCCCCUCCUCAUGGAGCCCUCCAAGGUGCUCCUAGCCCCAGCUCCCUGGUCCCGCAGCACCUUCUGAGCCCAGAUUCUGCCUUCUCAGAAGUCUGGGAGGCAGGGCCCCGCCUGGCCAUGGCCUUCUUGCUCUGCUCCAGGCACCCCCAGCCCUGAAGUCUCCAGUCCGCUGGACGCCUCCAUCCCUUGCUAUGCCGUGGCUCUCCUCAUCCUGGGCCUCCUGCUCGUCACACUGGCCCUUGUCCUGGUGAGUGUCUGGCUGGGCCCGGGCGCCUUCCUGAGGGGCAGCCUAAGCCUUUGACCUCUUGAGCCUUUAAGCCAAGCUGAGGGGUGAGCAGGCCCCUUUACACCCCUGAUUCCCCCACCCAAGCCCAGCAUCUCCUCAUCCUCCAGCUGGGGUUGCACGGUUUGGGGCCAGGGGGCUGGGCCUGAUCCCAGUGUCCCCACCCUUCUUGUCAAGGUGCUAAAGUGGAGGGCCUCCCAUGGGGUGUUCAGCCUGGGUGUGUAGAAGCACACAGUGUGGUACAGAGGACCCUCUCCAGACAGGUGACCCCUCAUGCUGCUGCUCCCUCUGCUGAAACCCAAAC